rnacentral:rRNA from 1 species
GACGAACGCUGGCGGCGUGCCUAAUACAUGCAAGUAGAACGCACAGUUUAUACCGUAGCUUGCUACACCAUAGACUGUGAGUUGCGAACGGGUGAGUAACGCGUAGGUAACCUGCCUGGUAGCGGGGGAUAACUAUUGGAAACGAUAGCUAAUACCGCAUAAUAUUAAUUAUUGCAUGAUAAUUAAUUGAAAGGUGCAAUUGCACCACUACCAGAUGGACCUGCGUUGUAUUAGCUAGUAGGUGAGGUAACGGCUCACCUAGGCGACGAUACAUAGCCGACCUGAGUGGGUGAGCGGCCACACUGGGACUGAGACACGGCCCAGACUCCUACGGGAGGCAGCAGUAGGGAAUCUUCGGCAAUGGACGAAGGUCUGACCGAGCAACGCCGCGGGAGUGAAGAAGGUUUUCGGAUCGUAAAGCUCUGUUGUAAGAGAAGAACGGGUGUGAGAGUGGAAAGUUCACACUGUGACGGUAUCUGACCAGAAAGGGACGGCUAACUACGUG